CACAAAGCCAGCGUCUUAGAAUAGACUCAGCCUAAACAGGCGCUCACUUCCCACAGAGUUCCCAGCAGGAGGUGGCAGGUUGACACUGCAAAAUCUGAAAAUGGCUCACUAUGCAGAGACAGUGCAGGGCAGGAGUGGAGUCCGAUCUCCAGAACCAGGCUUGAAUUCUGACACUGGGACAUCCUUGCUAUGUGACUCCGACCAAUUCACUUGACCUCUCUGGACUUGGCAUAAGAAGGGGAGAAUAGAAAUAUCUGUCACAUGGGGUUGCUGUAAGGAUUGAAGUGUGCCUAUCACUAUUCAAUAUUCAAUACAUAUUAGUUUUUACUAAUCUAAAAAAUAAAAUGUAAAAAUAAGAAAGGG
rnacentral:lncRNA from 1 species